GGCUCCGUGGCGGAAUGGCAGACGCGGCGGAUUUAAAAUCCGCGGCCCGCAAGGGCGUCCCGGUUCGACCCCGGGCGGAGCUA
rnacentral:tRNA from 1 species